rnacentral:rRNA from 2 species
UAGCCAUGGGCAGGUUGAAGGUUGGGUAACACUAACUGGAGGACCGAACCGACUAAUGUUGAAAAAUUAGCGGAUGACCUGUGGCUGGGGGUGAAAGGCCAAUCAAACCGGGAGAUAGCUGGUUCUCCCCGAAAGCUAUUUAGGUAGCGCCUCGUGAAUUCAUCUCCGGGGGUAGAGCACUGUUUCGGCUAGGGGGCCAUCCCGGCUUACCAACCCGAUGCAAACUGCGAAUACCGGAGAAUGUUAUCACGGGAGACACACGGCGGGUGCUAACGUCCGUCGUGAAGAGGGAAACAACCCAGACCGCCAGCUAAGGUCCCAAAGUCAUGGUUAAGUGGGAAACGAUGUGGGAAGGCCCAGACAGCCAGGAUGUUGGCUUAGAAGCAGCCAUCAUUUAAAGAAAGCGUAAUAGCUCACUGGUCGAGUCGGCCUGCGCGGAAGAUGUAACGGGGCUAAACCAU